UGGCAAGCACCUCGGGAUCCCAUUCCUUCACAGGGACCCUAGCCAGUUAAAGCUGAUACAUUCCUGUGGGUCAACUAUGCAACUAACUCAGAUUUUGAGCAAACAAAGCUCUCAAGUUGGUGAUCCUCAGGAGUCUCUGCAUUAGUUGGACAGCUCUUCUGGAAUUAUCUUCUAAGUCAACUGUGGGUUGGGUAGGUGGCUCUGCUGAUUUUUCGCUGGACUUCCACAUUUGGGACGAGUUGGCUGUCAUCAGCUCUAGAAAGGGUGUGGCCGUUUUACAUUGGCUGUUUUCCUCACAUUCCUCAAGCAGGUAAGCUUAAUCAUGUUCUCAUAUUGAAGCAGAAACUGUUUACUCAUUUAUCUAUUUACUUACUGGGUCUCCUGGGCACUAGGUACUGUAAUAAAGAACUGGAGAAAUACAGUCAGAUGGGAAGUAGCCCUUGCUGUCAAGGAGCUUGCCAUCUAAUGGGGGAGACAGGCAAGUAAACCAAAGACUACACAGUGCAGUAUGGUAAGUGCCAUGAUUUUGAUGUGACAGGGCACAGUGGACGACCUUCCAAAUCAAAGCAAGUAACUAGGGGUUGACAAUGGUAAGUAUCAUAGUUGAAGUAUCCUUGAACAAGGUUUCAGGAAGAAGAAGAAGGGAAUUUCAUGCAGGGAAACAGCCAAAGCUCAGUGAGUCAAAAUAUCACAGCAUUCUUGGUAAGCCCAAUUGUUUUUUCUGUUUUGCUAUUUUGGUGGAGAGAAAGGAACACAUAAAGGAAUAACAUGAGAGAAGGCUAUUUGGGGAAGUGUAGUAGUUAAGGUUCUGGCUCAAACAACAACUGCAGCUCAUAAAGUUGACUUUAGUGGAAGGAUACUGGGGUAUCUCAUGGAAUCUUGGGAACUGUUGAAUAACCAGGGAAACUCUGGGAAACUCACUGGUAGGAAUCCAUAAACUGUCCUCCUGGUGGGCUGUAAACAACUCACCCUCUAUGCAUCUCACAUCAAAAUUCCAGUUUCUUGGGAAAACAAGUCUGUUUGCCCAAUUUGGGUCAUAUUUCCACGUCCAUGUUACUCAGGCAUGAUUCAUCUGCAAGUUAUGUGUAUAGAUAUUUUGCUACUGUUCCACCCUUACGCUGUGCUGGGGAGGGAGGUGUCACUGUGAGCUGUGUCGGUGCCUUAAGAGAUAUCUGUUGUGUCUUAUUACUUGGUUGCUUUUCCCCACAUGUACAAUGACAAAAAUGCCUUCAACCUAUUUGAUCCAGCCGUUCCAGUACAACUCCUAUACUUGCCAUCUUUCCAAGCCCAAAGCUAUAGUUCCUCAUGGUCCUGCACUCCAUGGACUAAAUUGUAAGUAUAAUUACUACCAAUGUACUCUAUAAAUAACUUUUGGGGCCAGGGUGGCAAUAGUUGCUAGAGAGAAAAAAAAAAAAAAGGAAGGAGAAGAAAACAGUGAUAGUUCUUAUUUUAAAAGGAAAAAAAGAGGCAGGAGGCUCUCUUGAGGCCAGGAGUUUAAGACCAGCCUAGGCAGCAUUUCAAGACCCUGUCUCUACUAAAAAGUAAAAAAAAAAUUUAGUCAGGCAUGGUGGCAUGCACCUGUAGUCGUAGCUACUCAGGAGACUGAGGUGGGAGGAUUGAUUGAGCUCAGGAGUUUGAGGCUGCAGUGAGCAAUCAUCAUGCCAUUGCACUCCAGCCUGGGCAUCAGAGCAAGACCUUGUCUUUUAGGAAAAAAAGGCAGGGAAGAGGAAUAGGUAAUUUUUCAGUGUUCAGACAUUCCAGCAAUAUGUGUGGAGUACUCAUUCUCACUACAGUUUAUGAGGCCAUAGCUAGUAUGUAUGACUACCCAUCCAAGUUUCCCUGCUUAC
rnacentral:lncRNA from 1 species